GGAAUAAACAGUGAUCCCUGUAAGCCGUAAUGAUACAGUCCUUUUUGGUAAUUGCAGCUUCCAUGCCUAUGGCAACGGCCUCCUGGCCGUCGUAGAGGUGGCAGAAUCCGCGGAUGAGUUUCGCCUUGUAGAGCGAAUCAGCGGCGAUCUCCAUCCGCCGCAUCUCCGCCAUGUCUUUGAAGAAAGUCAUGAGUUCGUUGGCGCUUGUCUCGACGGCGCGUGAAGGAGGAUCGAUGUUGUGGCCGGUAAAUGGGAGGCUAGUCUCGACGGUGAUGGUGUCGGACGAUAGGCGGCGCGUGGCGCAGAUGGCGGCGGAUAAUGGCUUUAGAAGGUGGUUAACCGUCCGAUUCGUGGAUAAAGCCAUUCUGAUCGUUGAAUUGUUGUGUAAGUUGUGUGAUGGGAAUGGUUGAUUUUGCAGAUGGAGAAGAAGGGGGUUUGGUGAGGGGAGAGGAAAAAGGAGAAUGUAAAGUAGAGAAUCUCAGCAGCCACUGAACCGGGAAAGAAAUGAAGUUUUUCCCUUAAC
rnacentral:lncRNA from 1 species